AGUAACACGUGAGUAACCUGCCCCUGACUCUGGAAUAAGCGCUGGAAACGGCGUCUAAUACCGGAUACGACACGCCUCCGCAUGGGGAGCGUGUGGAAAGUUUUUCGGUCUGGGAUGGACUCGCGGCCUAUCAGCUUGUUGGUGAGGUAAUGGCUCACCAAGGCGAUGACGGGUAGCCGGCCUGAGAGGGCGACCGGCCACACUGGGACUGAGACACGGCCCAGACUCCUACGGGAGGCAGCAGUGGGGAAUAUUGCACAAUGGGCGAAAGCCUGAUGCAGCGACGCCGCGUGAGGGAUGACGGCCUUCGGGUUGUAAACCUCUUUCAGCAGGGAAGAAGCGAAAGUGACGGUACCUGCAAAAGAAGCACCGGCUAACUACGUGCCAGCAGCCGCGGUAAUACGUAGGGUGCGAGCGUUGUCCGGAAUUAUUGGGCGUAAAGAGCUUGUAGGCGGUUUGUCGCGUCUGCCGUGAAAAUCCGGGGCUCAACCCCGGACUUGCGGUGGGUACGGGCAGACUAGAGUGUGGUAGGGGAGACUGGAAUUCCUGGUGUAGCGGUGAAAUGCGCAGAUAUCAGGAGGAACACCGAUGGCGAAGGCAGGUCUCUGGGCCACUACUGACGCUGAGAAGCGAAAGCAUGGGGAGCGAACAGGAUUAGAUACCCUGGUAGUCCAUGCCGU
rnacentral:rRNA from 1 species